UUUGAACCAAGAUUCUAUUGUUUUGCUGUCUCACGAAUUUAUACCAGCACUUCUAUCAUGCUUUGAAUCUAUCUCUGUUAACAAACAAUAGGAUAAAAGAAAUAUUUUAUUACUACUAAGCAUGUGUAAUCUCACAACAUAUAUACAUAUUUACAUAACAAAUUACAACUUGGAAAAACUGGGGACUAACAGAUUAAAAUUGAGUUAUCCCCCUUUUCAUAUAGAUAUAAAAUUUAAAACUUGGGGAUGAGAUACAAAGGCUAAUGUGAAGAAAUUGUAUCGAAUUGGCCAAAUACAGGUGUGAAGCAGCUGUAGCCCCCAAGUGAAAUGGGGAACCUUUGUUGCCAGUACAAUUUAACCUAACUUCUGUCUGUCUCUGCUAAUUGUUUUUGAACAUUCUUAAGAACAUUAGGAGAAGUAUGAAUAUAUCUUGUGUAACAAUUAGAUGACCAUCUACCAAGUGUUUGAAUUAAAUGAUCUUCAAGACGGUAUUCUUUAGCAGAUGUAGCUGCAUCAACUCUAAA
rnacentral:lncRNA from 1 species